rnacentral:rRNA from 1 species
CAAUAGCGUAUAUUAAAGUUGUUGCAGUUAAAAAGACUCGUAGUUGGAUCUCGGGUCCAGGCUUGCGGUUCUGCUUGUGCAGAUACUACUUGUCCUGACCUACCUGCCGGUUUUCCCUUGGUGCCCUUGAUUGGGUGUCUCGGGUGGCCGGAACGUUUACUUUGAAAAAAUUAGAGUGUUCAAAGCAGGCAGCUCGCCUGAAUAAUGGUGCAUGGAAUAAUAGAAAAGGACCUCGGUUCUAUUUUGUUGGUUUUCGGAACUUGAGGUAAUGAUUUAAGAGGGACAGACGGGGGCAUUCGUAUUACGGUGUUAGAGGUGAAAUUCUUGGAUCGCCGUAAAGACGAACUACUGCGAAAAGCAUUUGCCAAAGAAUGUUUUUCAUUAAUCAAGAACGAAAGUCAGAGGUUCG